rnacentral:tRNA from 1 species
GGAAUUGUGACUCAGUGGUAGAGUGUUCACCUAGCAAAUGAGAGGCACUGGGUUCAAUCCUCAGCACCA